rnacentral:rRNA from 1 species
CCUACGGGUGGCAGCAGUGGGGAAUAUUGGACAAUGGGCGAAAGCCUGAUCCAGCCAUGCCGCGUGUGUGAAGAAGGCCUUCGGGUUGUAAAGCACUUUCAGUGGGGAAGAAAGCCUUGGGGCUAAUACCCUCGAGGAAGGACAUCACCCACAGAAGAAGCACCGGCUAACUCCGUGCCAGCAGCCGCGGUAAUAAGGAGGGUGCGAGCGUUAAUCGGAAUUACUGGGCGUAAAGCGCGCGUAGGCGGUCUGAUAAGCCGGUUGUGAAAGCCCCGGGCUCAACCUGGGAACGGCAUCCGGAACUGUCAGGCUAGAGUGCAGGAGAGGAAGGUAGAAUUCCCGGUGUAGCGGUGAAAUGCGUAGAGAUCGGGAGGAAUACCAGUGGCGAAGGCGGCCUUCUGGACUGACACUGACGCUGAGGUGCGAAAGCGUGGGUAGCAAACAGGAUUAGAUACCCCAGUAGUC